UGAACGCUGGCGGCGUGCCUAACACAUGCAAGUCGAGCGGAGUGAAUCGAGUGCUGCACAUGAUUCACUUAGCGGCGGAUGGGUGAGGAACGCGUGGAGAACCUGCCUCACACAGGGGGAUAACAGUUGGAAACGACUGUUAGUACCGCAUAUGCUCACGGUACCGCAUGGUACAGGGAGGAAAGAUUUUAUCGGUGUGAGAUGGCUCCGCGUCGGAUUAGCCAGUUGGCGGGGUAACGGCCCACCAAAGCGAUGAUCCGUAGCCGGCCUGAGAGGGCGACCGGCCACAUUGGGACUGAGACACGGCCCAAACUCCUACGGGAGGCAGCAGUGGGGGGAUAUUGCACAAUGGGCGCAAGCCUGAUGCAGCCGACGCCGCGUGAAGGAGGAAGUGCUUCGGCAUGUAAACUUCUAUCAGCAGGGAAGAAGAUGACGGUACCUGACUAAGAAGCCCCGGCUAACUACGUGCCAGCCGCAGC
rnacentral:rRNA from 1 species